rnacentral:rRNA from 1 species
UGGGGAAUAUUGCACAAUGGGGGAAACCCUGAUGCAGCGACGCCGCGUGAACGAAGAAGGUAUUCGUAUCGUAAAGUUCUGUCCUAUGGGAAGAUAAUGACAGUACCAUAGAAGAAAGCUCCGGCUAAAUAUGUGCCAGCAGCCGCGGUAAUACGUAUGGAGCGAGCGUUGUCCGGAAUUAUUGGGCGUAAAGGGUACGCAGGCGGUUUAAUAAGUCGAAUGUUAAAGAUCGGGGCUCAACCCCGUAAAGCAUUGGAAACUGAUAAACUUGAGUAGUGGAGAGGAAAGUGGAAUUCCUAGUGUAGUGGUGAAAUACGUAGAUAUUAGGAGGAAUACCAGUAGCGAAGGCGACUUUCUGGACACAAACUGACGCUGAGGUACGAAAGCGUGGGGAGCAAACAGG